rnacentral:rRNA from 1 species
UAGGGAAUCUUCGGCAAUGGACGAAAGUCUGACCGAGCAACGCCGCGUGAGUGAAGAAGGUUUUCGGAUCGUAAAACUCUGUUGUUAGAGAAGAACAAGGACGUUAGUAACUGAACGUCCCCUGACGGUAUCUAACCAGAAAGCCACGGCUAACUACGUGCCAGCAGCCGCGGUAAUACGUAGGUGGCAAGCGUUGUCCGGAUUUAUUGGGCGUAAAGCGAGCGCAGGCGGUUUCUUAAGUCUGAUGUGAAAGCCCCCGGCUCAACCGGGGGGGGUCAAUGGAAACUUGGAGACUUGAGUGCAGAAGAGGAGAGUGGAAUUCCAUGUGUAGCGGUGAAAUGCGUAGAUAUAUGGAGGAACACCAGUGGCGAAGGCGGCUCUCUGGUCUGUAACUGACGCUGAGGCUCGAAAGCGUGGGGAGCAAACAGG